UACGUAGGGUGCAAGCGUUUGUCCGGAAUUAUUGGGCGUAAAGCGCGCGCAGGCGGUUUCUUAAGUCUGAUGUGAAAGCCCACGGCUUAACCGUGGAAGGUCAUUGGAAACUGGGAGACUUGAGUGCAGAAGAGAAGAGCGGAAUUCCACGUGUAGCGGUGAAAUGCGUAGAGAUGUGGAGGAACACCAGUGGCGAAGGCGGCUCUUUGGUCGUGUAACUGACGCUGAGGCGCGAAAGCGUGGGGAUCAAACAGG
rnacentral:rRNA from 1 species